UGAGGAACAUGACCUUCGGCGGGGGAUAGCCGGCCCAACGGCCGGGUAAUACCGCGUACGACCACAUGGGGACAUCCCUGAGUGGUGAAAGCAGCAAUGCGCCGAUGGAGUGCCUCGCGGCCUAUCAGCUAGUUGGUGAGGUAACGGCUCACCAAGGCAACGACGGGUANCUGGUCUGAGAGGAUGGCCAGCCACAGUUGGGACUGAGACCACGGCCCAGACCUCGUAACCGGGGAGG
rnacentral:rRNA from 1 species